rnacentral:tRNA from 1 species
AAUGAAUUGCCUGACAAAAGGAUUACCUUGAUAGGGUAAAUUAUGUAAUAGCCAUUACAUUCAUUA